rnacentral:rRNA from 1 species
UACGUAGGGUGCGAGCGUUGUCCGGAAUUAUUGGGCGUAAAGGGCUCGUAGGCGGUUUGUCGCGUCGGGAGUGAAAACCUCGGGCUUAACUCGGGGCCUGCUUUCGAUACGGGCAGACUAGAGGUAUGCAGGGGAGAACGGAAUUCCUGGUGUAGCGGUGAAAUGCGCAGAUAUCAGGAGGAACACCGGUGGCGAAGGCGGUUCUCUGGGCAUGAUCUGACGCUGAGGAGCGAAAGUGUGGAGAGCGAACAGG